GCCAGGCAUAGUGACGCAUUCCUAUAAUCCCAGUGACUCAGGAGGCUGAGGCAGGAGGAUUGCAGGUUCAAAGCCAGCCUCAGCAACUUAGCGAGAGAGAGAUCGUGAGCAAAUCAGUGAGACCCUGUCUCUA
rnacentral:sRNA from 1 species